rnacentral:lncRNA from 1 species
GCUGGCGCCUGGGGUGGCAGUUAACAUUGUGAGUAGGGAGGAGUGUGUGGAGGGAAAACAGGGUGGGUUGUCAGUGGAAGCCUGGAGGGCCACCCUCAUCAUGGGGCAGGUGGAAAAUGAGGAAGAAAUGGAUAGAACUGAACCUGAACUGAGGAAGAAAUGGAUGGAACCGAGGGAGGUAAGAAGAAAACCAGAGAGGCCCAGGUGGUGGACAGUUUCAAGAUGGUGGGAAUGGUCACAGGUGGUAACUGUAGCAGAGAUGUCCAGCAGGAUGACUGAGAAGAAUCCAUUAGGUCUGGCAAGGGGAUGGUCACGAUGAUUCAAGCAGGGGAGAGGAACAAGGCUGUACGUCCGGGAUGCUUUUUCUGUGGUCUUCGAGUGGGAGAGCUUUGAGUCAGUGGUGAUGGAGAUGCUGAAGUGGAGGAAAGAGGAAAACUGUGGGUGUCCGGAGAGAGCAGGGUGGGAAGGUGGGUCUUCAACAGGACUGUGGGUGAGACCAGGGGGAAGGAGGUGUGGCCGGGAAUGGUGCUGAUUUUGUAGGUGUAAAGAUGGGACAGGGAAGAGCCCCUGGGAGGAAUGAAUGAGGGAGCUCAAAAGAGCCCUGAUGGAGGGGACUAAAGGGUACAGCUGAGAUGGGGACCCCAAAAGGGACAGGUCUCCUUGCUUAUCUUUUGCCAUGAGACACCAUCAUCUCAUGGAUCUAGGAUGGGAGACGGAGGAGUGAGCAGGGUUGAUAUUUGUAUAUUAAGGAUUGGGAAAAGAUGGAGGAGGCCAGAGAACUGAGUGUCCAAUGGGGCAGCAGUGAGUUCAGAGGCAUCGAUGUGGACGCUGGGCUGAGUGGGAUAGGGGAGCAGAGAAGAGGGGGCUCAAGAGGGGACUCAGGAAGGUGGAGUGCCUAGAGAUUGGGAGGAGAGGCUGCUGUAGACAGAGAGGUGGUCAUGGGAUGUAAGAAUUCAGAGACCAGCUACCCCUGGAGUGAUAGAGCAACACCAUCCUGGGGCAGUUAUAGGCAAGGAUUGAAUUAGAGGAAUAAUGUAGUCCGAAUCCUGACUCUCUUUGGGUGAACUUGAGUAUGAUUUCUGGGUUUCCCCUUAAAAUGGGAGUAAUGAUGUUGCUUCCACGACAGGGUGACUAGUACCAUCCGGCAAAGCAGAGUGUUAGGGCUUGAAUGAUCCAAGUGGAACCUUACGCAGGGCAAUGCUGAAUAAAUAAUUAUUAUCCUCCCCAUUAUCACUGCUUGAUGUCAUGGAACCUGGGUUACAGAAGGCUCUUUGGUAAGGAUUGGAAGGGUGAUGAGCAGGGGGGAAAUUAGGAAUGAGGAGGUGCAGGGUGGUAAGAGCAUGGGAAUGGGAGCAGGUUAGGGGUCAGGGUACAAGGAGGAGAACUGCAGAUCCUGUUUACCCUGUGUGAUACAGAGAUCUGUGAUGCAGAUUCUUUGGCCCAGAGUUUCUGACCCAGGUCCAGCUGGUAGAGCCUGGCCAGGUCUUAGGCAGUUGGCAAGUGCUUCUGCUGGCUGUGACCCUGUUCUCAGGGUGUCUGGAGCAUGGACAGGUGCAUACAUCAAUGCACAAUGUGAGGCAGUGGUGAGGCAGGAAGGGCACAGGGGAAUUUACCUGGACAGUGUAAACCCAAGUGUUUUUUUUUUUUAACUUCCUUGCCCUGUGCCUCAGUUUCCCCAUCUGUGGAAUAAAGAAUCAGAAAUGGUGACUUCGUGCCUCCCAGUACUGCUAUCUUCUGAUUCUAGGCCCCUCUCUCCUGGUGUUUUGUGGAAAUCCCAUUCCACCCAUUCUUCCUUCAGGCUAGGAAGCUCCAGUUGACAAGGCCACAUGGUUCCAGGGACAUCAGGGCUUUCCCUUUAGGCUUUUCCCUAAAGGAUGAUGCUUUGUGGACAACCACUAGAGAAGUGUUUCCUAUAUCAAGGCUGCUGAAGUACAGAGCAGAAGCAUGUUGGAGGGAAAAAAAAAUAGGCUCUGCCUCCAAAGAGAGAGUCCUGAGGUGCAUUAGACCCACAGGGUGAUGGCGAAGGUUGUGUGGAUUUCCUGGGACCUCCUUGAGCAAUAUCUGUUAGUGCUCUUACAAUGAAACCAGGAGCUGAGUAUAAAUGGGUGUGGGGCUGGGCAAGGACAAAUGGCCAGUGCUAAGCAUGGCCUCACUCUUUGGUUUUCUGAGUCAAUGUCUGAGACCUUGACCUCUGCCCCAGAUAGUGACCUUUAUCUUGCAACCUCUGCCCCAGAUAGUGACCUUUAUCUUCGUGUAGGGUGUAUUGUCUCCCCCCGUGGGCUUGGGACACUGGGAGGCAUAUCUUCUACCAAAUGACUCAUUUAUGGAAUCCUGGGAGAUAUUGGUAAUUGAUCUCAGGGUCAUUCAGGGCCAACGGACCCCUCCCGGUUACCAUCCCUCCAACACACACUGCAGCCUGUAUGCACACACCCAGGAUGUGCCCUUGAGGAAGGAAGAAGGUCGGUUCUGGUGCAGCAGGACAAGGAGCAAGGAAAUAAAAUGCAAAUCGAAAGUACUGGUUGCCAAAGCCAAAUUCUUCAAUGGCAGCAUUGCCUGUCCUUAUAGGUCCCACCUCUGCCCUGCACAAAGAGGCACUGGGUGCACAGAGAGGCCAGGAUGUGUUGCUGCAUCCAGAAACCAAAGCCUUUGGGGUGAGGAGGAGGAAGACCUUCCUCUUCCUUGGACCACGUGGCUCCUCCUUUUUGUCUCCCACCCCCUACUUUGCUGCAGGAACAGCCAGGAGGAGCGGGGAUCCCGUGGAGAAAUGCAAUUUCGCCCUGUGUGCCCGGCGCCCUGUUUGUUCCUGGCACAGCACAAUGACCUCUUGUAAGCCAGUGGUUUUCCAGCCUCACUGAGGGUUACUGUGCAGCCUUGAUUCCUCCCCUGAUUAUCUUGAAGCCUGUCAAGCUGUAAGGUUCUCCCUCCCUUCUUUGCUCUUUCUUCCUAAUAGACAUGAAACAGUGCAGUCAAUAAUAUUUUACUUGUCUUCUCACUGCGUGUCUCUUCUUCUGAUCAGUUUAGGCGGGUUUGACUGCGGAAAGUCAGAAGGGAGGUUACGAUCUGAAAAGUUCAGCCAAAUGUUAUCAGCCUCGGAGAUGUUGCUAAGGGAAGGGCCCCCCAGCCCUUGGCGACCGGAGCCAAUAAUAGCUGCGAUUCACUGAUAGCAUCAACGCCUGUCAAAGAUCCAGGCGUUUGUGGUUCGUCUGUAAACGCAAACACCUGUAUCCAGUCAAGCUAUGAUGGUUAUCCUCUCUUUCCCUGUCAUUCCCAUCGGUUCCUUGAAGGGGCUGCCAGGAUGUUCUAAGCUGUGAGUUGAUUUAUAAAGUGAAGGGUCUCUCCAAAACUUUGGCAAGGUUGGGGAAAUUGACGAAAGCGCGCCUCUCCUUCAGGGGGUGACAUGGCGUUUUGACAACGGUGAAAUCCACAGUCUUCUUUUAAUUACAUUUUUGAACCCGUGGCACCAACGGCUCGAGCCACGGGGAAACGGGGGCUUAUGCUUCCUUUUAUUACCUUCACGUGAUCCGCAUGCCCCCCCCAACCCACCACCAAAAGGAUGCUGGGUACUUGUUGGAGAUUUUUGUGUGUGAUGAAUUAGAUCAAAGUGACUUAAUAAAGAGUGUCCGAGGAAGCACUUCAGAACACAGUAUAUACAUAGUUGAGAUAUUUUCAAGGUUGAACAGGCAAGGUCCAAACUGUUAAAUAAACAAGUGCAAGGAGAAGACCGCGUGCGUGCUGGCCCACCCUGCUGCGGCAAGAUGGCCAUGGGCAUCAGGAUUUUCUCAGUGAAAGGGCUCAUGGGCUUCUCCCUGCUGGGGUGGUCAGCCAUGGCUGCCUGGAAGGAAAGAGAGUCAACGAGGCUAUGGCACGUCCUCCCCAGGCUUCAUCUGUGUGGACAGAAUGGGUGCACUUGCUGGGAGAAUGAUGGGAGACGAAGUACUAGGUGACAACAAAAUUGCACCCACAGAAGACCUUGUCAUAGGGUACAACGCAUUUAGUGUAAUGCCUGGUACACGGCAGGCAUUCAGUAUUGGUUUCUCCUCCUUCUCCUCAUUGUUUUUCUCUAUCCUCUGACCAAAUGUUUUCAGAAUGAAAAGUCUAAUUUGGAUCAGAGAUUAGUGAAAAAUUCAGGGAUUCAGUUAUUAUCAACUUAAAGUAUAAAGAAAAAAAAAGAAGGGUGAUUUAAUGGUGAUGCCCCAUGGAGCCUUAUCAAAAUCUCCCUUUGAAACCCCAGAGGGUGAAUGAGGGAUGUGGGUCACACCAUGGUGUUUCUACGUGUGAGACCUACUGGAUUUGUGGGCAGAUGCUCGUUGAAUUCCAGGUAUUUAAAAGAUCGCACACUAUUGAUUCUUUGUGCUAUAGAGCUCACAGAAUCCUAAACUUGCAUUUUUUUUCUUAUGAAGAGUGCAUUGAGAUAUAUUGGUCCUAAACUCUUAAUGGUUCCUACAUAUUUUAGCUAAAGAAUAAAGGGACUACAAUAAGGCAGUGCUCAGGUUGCCUAUGCCAGGGCUGCUUCCCACUGCCUGCAGAACAUGCUCUCAUGUCUGCCCCUGCAAAACAGUGCAACUGGGUGGAGAGAUCAUGUCUUGGCAGCUCAAACUAAGAUUUCAAUGUUUGCUUAGAGGAAGCGACCAGCUAUCCCUUUGCUUGGGACAUCAUAGGUUUUAGCACUGAAAGUUCCAUGCCCCAAGCAUGCGGGGGUGGGGGUGGUGAGGGUCAUCCAAGGUUAAAGAGAAAGGCAUCUCACGCCUUCAUCUUUUGAAGGGGGAUAAAAACAGGAAACAAGAGGAUGAGAUGUAAAAAAUGACUCUGUGCCGAGAGUUCAGUGGAACAGGUGCAGUUUGUUAUUUUAGAACAUUCUUUACAGGACAUAUCGAUAUUCCAAGGGCAAGUGGGUUGCUCUGGAGGGAACUAGACUAAAAUUUCAUUUUGACUGUGAAAUAAGUGAAAUUGUGUUCUGUCCCCUCUCCACCAACUCCUCCAACCCAUUAUUUCAUUUUUUGGGGAAAUAUUUAAUUCCUUUAGAUCCAUGUGAUGUGACAGGAAAUCACCAGGAUUGUGUUUUUAAUUAAUUUAGUUUGGCCCACAAAGAUGGGUGUCUUUGAGUUGCAGCUCUGAAUGUCAGAUUUUUAUUUUUAUUUUUUUUAAUCAAGGCUGGUGACACCACUUGGACAUUCCAUGACAACUGGAUUCUGGUUGCCUCCAAAUGGCAGGUCACCCCAGCCCUCAGCUGGGGGUACUUUACUCUUAGUUUAGCUUAUCCCAAGUGAUUGAAUAUAAUGAGAAGCAGCCCAAUUGCAUACCCAGAUGUUUUAAAGUCUUUCAACGAAUAUACAUCAUCUUUAUUCUAAAGUUAACACGUAGAUAUAAGAAAUUAACACAUUGUUAAUAUUUAUUCUGUGGUUGAUAUUUCCCUUUCUGUUUUUGUUUGUUUGCUUUGGGGCACACGACAGAUACAUCUCCAGGGAAUUUUGUGACCGGUGCAUGAAGAUUUGCAGAGAGAUGAGGGACCACACCCAGGUUGCCACCUUGACCCUCCUCAUCCGCAGCGGUUGCCUGCUCGCAGGGGCUCGGCCCGAGGAGGUAAUCUUUCACAUCCAAGCCCAAGUCACAGUUGCUGCACACCAGCCCCUCGUCCUGACAGUGAAUCUCCAGCCACCUGGGGGGUUCCUUCCAGAGCCUUGAAAGUGCCAGGUCUCCCCCUCCCCAGCGCUGGUCUCCCUACGAACUGACCUUUGAGACUGUGUGCUCAGUAAUGUGUCUAGUUUUGCUUGGUUAAACAUGGAAAAAUGUUCCUCUAGAUCGAACCAGCUCCCCAUUUAUUUCAGAGCAUCCUGUCUCUGACGUCAUGCUGCCUGGUUUAUGGCCUGGUCGCUGCGCCGUUUCGGGGUUGAGUAAUGCCUCCCGGUGCACGAGGCACCGCCUAUGUCACCACAAGGAAGGGGCGACACCCCAGGGGCCUCCCAGGCAUCUGCUGGGAAAUGGCUUCUUUGGUGCCAGACAAAUGAAUGUUUUUUUCAUAUUUCUCACAAAAGGAAAAGGGUUGUACGACGAAGGUUAACAUAACAAUCUUCUCUUAUUACAGUGAUUUAUGUGUGCAUAACUCGAGCAGCGGAAUGUCAUCCAGGAGGUUUUUAAUUGGCAGACUUCAGGGACCACAGAGGGAGAUGACAGAGGGAGCUCUGGAGAGAGGAGAGUGUCGGCUGCCAUUCCCAGCUCAGCCUCACGGAGGAGGCCUAAUAAAUCUCCAGGGGGAGCCGGUCAACUUUUAAACUUUUUUAUUAACCCGAUCUCUGCUAAUGAAAUACAAAGAGGAGGAGGCGAUGAUCUUCAACUUCAGAAGGUUGGGUCUUGUGAUGCGGCAAAUGACUGCGGGGGAUUCCUGAGACGCAACCCAACUCGAGUCUUCUGGCAAUUUCCAUUCCGAGAUGGAAAUUGUCUUUGUGACUUCCAUGAGUCCCUUGGUUCCGUCUUGCCACAUAGGAUCUGACCCUGUAUUCUUAGGGAUGUCAGAAAAAAAAAAAAACAGUGUUUUCUUUUGGGAACAUCUUCUAAGCCCUUGGAUAAAGGUGUUGUUUUAAGAUGGAAUUGUUGCUGCUUUGGGUACCCUGAUGGCUUUCAGAGAAGAGUCUUUAUCUACUCAGGGUAGUUCUAACUUUCAGGGUAGGACGUGUGCAGGAAAGAAAAGGGAUUUCUUUGGCAGCAGGGUCCCCAGAUCUGUGUCAUUUUAGGAAUGCUGUGGUCUUUCUAAAAUCAUGAUUGAUGACUUUGGAAACAUCUGUGUUUACACUGCCUCAGAGAUGGUGUGGGCUUUUCCAGGCCUUAAACACCAGCACCUGUGAUAGAGCAGUUCCCAAACUCUGAGCCAAAUUCUUUCUUGGGCCACUGGGCUUUUGAAAGACAAAUGACAACUUAUAUGUUUGCAUUUAUUUUCCAAGUCAUAACUAUCCUAAAAAUACAAUGUCCUUAAGUUAGGUUCCCCAGGAUCAGAUGCUGUUACAGGAAUGGAGAGCAGGUUGUUUCUUGGAGUGGUGAUCUCACUCCAAGAAACAACCUGCUCUCCGUGGUGGAGGGAGGAAUGAUAGUUAAUUUUAUUUGUGUCACCUUGCCUGGGCUACGGUCCCCAGAUAUUUGGUCCAAAUCAUUCUGGAUGUUUCCUUGAGUUUGCCUGUUGCCUGUUUUGGGAUAAGAUCAACAUUUAGAUUGAUGAGCUUUGAGUGAAGCAGAUUACCCUCACUAAUGUAGGUGGGCUUUGUCCAAUCAGUUGAAGGCUUGAAAGUACAAGGCAUGGACCUCUCCCAAGCAAGGGGUAAUUCUGCCAGCAGACAGCCUCUACCCUUUGACUGUAACAGUAUGGUACAUAGGAGGUGGCCCUCAAAACUCAUGUGUCAGACAUGAAUAUUCUGAGGUGAAACAAUUAGAUCAUGAGAGCUGAACCCAUUAGUGGCCAAGCCACUGAAAUGGAUUAACUGAUUGGUAAUCAUUGAUGGUAGGUCACUGGGUAUGCCUUUGGGUUUGAUUUCGUCCCUGCUAAGCAGAGUUUACUUUGUCUCGGCCUCCUGGUUGCCUUGUCUUGUGCAGUUUCACUCUGACAUGCUCUUCAACUGCCUCACCUCAGGCCUAGAGCUGUGGAGCCAGCCAACCAUAAACUGUGAGCCAAAUUAAACUUAUCCUCCUCUCUGUGGCUCUUUCUGGGCCUUUUGGUCACUGUGAUGCAAAAGCUAACUACAACACAGUGACUCUUCCCCAGGUCUCCAGGCCUGCAGGUGCACCCUGUGAAGUUUGGACUUGACAGCCUCCGUAAUCAAGUGGACCCGUUCCUUCAGAAAACAUUUUUUUUUCUCUAUAUAGGUACAGCCUAUUUGUUCUGUUUCUCUGGAGAACUCUGGCUCAUCCAGGCAGUCUUUUGGACCCUGUCCCAUCUGGUCUGGGAAGGGAAGAGAAAGAAGCUGAUAUAGGUUUCUGUGGAGUGGCUGGGGACUUAGGGAGAGAGAAAAAUCCAGAUUGAAUCAUUCUGACUGAAGGAGUUACCUGGUGUUAAGCCGCCAGCUCCUAUCUGCCGUUGGUAGAG